rnacentral:misc_RNA from 1 species
GAUGAAGAACGUAGCGAAAUGCGAUAAGUAAUGUGAAUUGCAGAAUUCCGUGAAUCAUCGAAUCUUUGAACGCACAUUGCGCCCCCUGGUAUUCCGGGGGGCAUGCCUGUUCGAGCGUCAUUUCACCACUCAAGCCUCGCUUGGUAUUGGGCAACGCGGUCCGCCGCGUGCCUCAAAUCGACCGGCUGGGUCUUCUGUCCCCUAAGCGUUGUGGAAACUUUCGCUAAAGGGUGUUCGGGAGGCUACGCCGUAAAACAACCCCAUUUCUAAGGUUGACCUCGGAUCAGGUAGGGAUACCCGCUGAACUUAAGCAUAUCAAUAGCGGAGGA